rnacentral:rRNA from 1 species
UACGAAGGGGGCUAGCGUUGCUCGGAAUCACUGGGCGUAAAGGGUGCGUAGGCGGGGCUUUAAGUCAGGGGUGAAAUCCUGGAGCUCAACUCCAGAACUGCCUUUGAUACUGAAGAUCUUGAGUUCGGGAGAGGUGAGUGGAACUGCGAGUGUAGAGGUGAAAUUCGUAGAUAUUCGCAAGAACACCAGUGGCGAAGGCGACUCACUGGCCCGAUACUGACGCUGAGGCGCGAAAGCGUGGGGAGCAAACAGG